CUAUCAUUGCUGUAAGAACCACCGUUAUUCGAUAACGAAUUCGCAGCAGCAGUUAACAUUUUAUUCCAAUUUCACUCGAACCAAAGUAAUUCUUCUUUCUUGUAUUAAAAAAGGUCACACAGACUUUCCUAUAGUACACGUGGUUAUUUAAAAAUUGGUGACAAGAUGCUUUCAUAGGACUAAAAAGUACAAGUUAAUGACUAUGGCAUUUCCAAAAAUAACGAUUGAAUAAGCGAAACCAAAUCAUGAAGCCACACGCUUUACAAAUAAGUUACUAACCUAGUAACUUUUAUUUGUGCAUGAUGCUUGCUAAGAACUUUUCUUCUCUUCAGCUGGUUUUUCUUUAUCUGGUUUACUACAUUCCCUGGAUUUUUGUCGUCUUAUCGUGGAAUUCAAAUC
rnacentral:misc_RNA from 1 species